GACGAACGCUGGCGGCGUGCUUAACACAUGCAAGUCGAACGGAAAGGCCCUGCUUUUGUGGGGUGCUCGAGUGGCGAACGGGUGAGUAACACGUGAGUAACCUGCCCUUGACUUUGGGAUAACUUCAGGAAACUGGGGCUAAUACCGGAUAGGAGCUCCUGCUGCAUGGUGGGGGUUGGAAAGUUUCGGCGGUUGGGGAUGGACUCGCGGCUUAUCAGCUUGUUGGUGGGGUAGUGGCUUACCAAGGCUUUGACGGGUAGCCGGCCUGAGAGGGUGACCGGCCACAUUGGGACUGAGAUACGACCCAGACUCCUACGGGAGGCAGCAGUGGGGAAUAUUGCACAAUGGGCGGAAGCCUGAUGCAGCAACGCCGCGUACGGGAUGACGGCCUUCGGGUUGUAAACCGCUUUCGCCUGUGACGAAGCGUGAGUGACGGUAAUGGGUAAAGAAGCACCGGCUAACUACGUG
rnacentral:rRNA from 1 species